GUUUUCAUAGUUGAUGCAACAGUUUCGGAACUUUGAGGAUUCCGAUGAUUUUUGAAGUUGUCAACAAUGGUUGAAUUUUUUAUUUUUCGGAAAGUUUGGGUAUGUUUUUUUUUGUCAACAAUGAUUGAACUGUUCUUGUUUUUUUGAAAGUUUGAAAUUGUCAGCAAUGUUUGAUUCUUGAGGUUGUCGAUUUUGAGCUUGUCGGUGAUUUUGUGAUUUCCGUCGAAGAUGCCGUGAAGCCG
rnacentral:lncRNA from 1 species